GAGUGGAAGAGGAGAGUGGAUGGCGGGAGAGCAGGGUGCCACUCUUCUAGAUCUUCUCACCAAUCGCUGGAGUCUGGAGGGGAAAUGAAAACUCUUCCCUGCUUAUGAACACAUAUGUUGGUGUUUGAUCUUACACCUAUCACCUCAUGGUCCCAAGAUGGUUUUUAAAGUUCCAGACAUCACAUCUAUAUCAUCCAUGUUCAAGUGAUGGCAGAAGAGAGCUGUGGGAACAGAAGAGAAGUCAAAGGCACAGAGAUGCAAAAGCUAGCAAUCCUGAGUUUCAUUCCUGGCUGAGGGAUGGACAAACAAUUGGCUUCAGUGCCUAUUACUUCAAUUCUCCAUGAGUUGUUUUCUUGUCUGAAGAGAUCAGAAAACAUUUAUCUAAGGAUGUAGUCCAUAUGAAACGUUGGAAGUGACCUGGGAAUAUACUUGAUAAAUAGGCAAGAUGAGAGUAAUCUGAUUAAGGGGUGCUAAAGAAUUCUCCCCUGUUGCCUGAAUAUUUAUGCAUUUUCAACUUGUGAGUCCCUGUGCCCCUUGUCAGUCUUUG